rnacentral:lncRNA from 1 species
UUUUUUUUUUUUUAAUGCACAUCACAUUGCAAUGUAGGAAGCUGGCACAUGUGGGCCAGCUAGCACCCAGACAAUUCACGAGAGUAGAAUUCACCAAGAUCCAGGAUUUGGUUGUCAGAAGUGUUGUUAAUGCCUAGAGAAUGGAUAAAUGGUUCAGGGGCACACUCACAUUAAUAAGGCUUGUAGAGUCUGGAUAGAAGAAUGGAGAAAUAGGUAGAUCAGAUAAGGUAUUAAUAUACAUUUAUGUACAUAUACAAUAUACAUAUACAUAUAUGUACUUAUACAAUAUACAUAUACAAUAUAAAUGCACAUUAACAAACUCACAGAGAGAUUUAUUUAUCACAUAAGAGAAAUAUAACAUAAUAUCAAUUUAUAAAUCAGAUGUUUAUUGACAGUUUCCUGGACCUUCUUGAGUCAUAACCAAAAUAGAUAGAAAACCAAGUUGUCUGGAUGCAAAUGGAAAGAGAAUAAGAGGAAUAGGUGAUUUUUUUUUUAAGAAGUCUCUCCUAAAUUCGGUGGUUUGCAGCACCACCCUACCAAAUAGAUAUACACUGAAGCAAGAAAACCCUAUUUAGGGGGUCUGCUUCAUCAAAACAUCCUCACCUCUGUGUCAGGCCAUGCACAACACUUGCCUCUGUGAUGCUUUUUUUAACUUUGUCCAUGACUGUCCCAAUACUCCUUCAGUAAGCAGAAUAACGGCUCCCUAAAGAUGCCCACAUUCUAAUCCCCGGAACCAAUGAAUAAAUUAUGUUACAUGGCAAGUGGGAAUUAGGUUGCAGAUGGGAUUAAGUUGCUAAUCAGCUGACCUUAAAAUAAGGAAAUAAAUUAUUCUAGAUCAUUUGAGUGGUCCAAUGUAAUCACCAUGGCCCUUAAAUAGGGCUAAAGAAUUAGAAUCAGAGUGAUGGCAUCUCAAGAAAGAAUAACUGGCCAUCGCUGACAUUGAAGAUGAAAGGGAACCAGUGUCCAAGAAAUGUAGGUGGCCUCUAAAAACUGGAAAAGGCAAGAAAAUAGAUUCUCCCCUAAACUCUCCUAAAGGAAUGCAAUUCUGCCAACAUCUUGAUUUUAAGCUCUUGGGACCCAUUUCAGAUUAAAGACCUCCAUAGCUAUAAGACAGAAAAUUUGCUUUAUUUCAAGCUACUCCACUGUGGUAACUUGUUGCAGCAGCAAUAGAAAACUAAUACAACCCCAUACAUCCUCACUGAGCCUUGCAACUGUUCUUUAAAUAUGCUAUAUAAAAAUCUUAUAACAGUUCAUCUUUGUUAGCCUAGAAUUAUUUUUCUCUUUACAAAUUGACUUUGUAUCACUCUUCCCAGUUCCACUGUGUAUUGAAUUUUUCUGGUUUCAUUCACCAAGGAUUUUCAUAUGCCCUUAUUGCUAAGUUUGGAGGCAGGACCUCUGUACCAAUGAGAGAUAUAUUCUCUAGAGUUUAUCAAGAAGGAUUAGCUCUCAGAAGAGAAAUUUUUAGGAAAAGAAUUCUUAACUUGAUGAAUAAAGAACUCUGAUCAUCAAAUUACAUUAGUUAAAAUUUUGCUGCAGAUACAAACUCAUGGAUGAAGAAUGUGACAUCCCAACUAUUCAUUCAGAAAAAGACUGAAGUUACUCUAAUAGCAAAUUGACUUUUAAGGGUAAAAACUGAUCCCAGUAAAAACUGUUUAGACAGCAGGAGCACAACAGAGAAGAAAAUGAAGCCAAAAUAGGUCACCAAUGUGGGUAACUAGGGCUCAAUCCCACUGAGGAUCUCUGGAAGCCAAUAUAGAACACAAACCUCAGAGUUAUCCCAUGUGAGGGUGUGGGAGCUGGGAUAUUUAUACUCUUGGUCAUUGAUUGACAGCUGCUCCUGGAAGACAUUAAUUCCCCAGCAUUUCCAGCUUAUAGAGCAAGUGGCAAAGUAGGCUUUGGAAAGCAGAGAAAGACCUCAGGCAAAGAAAUGCAGGUGCUGGCAGAUGAAAGGCAAGCAAAGCUGGGACAACUGAAGUGAUAAGGGAUGUAGUAAUGAGCAGGGCCCUUGCGGCAUCUGCUACAGUCCCCAUACUUUGAGGCACUGUUCACACCAAGUAAAAAUGAUGGCCAUCAGAUAGAUAACAUUUAUAAUACUGUUUUCUAGGAUAAUUUCAUCAAAGCCUAAUCUUUUAGAGUUGACAUAGGAAAGCCAGCAAACAUGGUAUAAAAUUUCUAAGUGUUGGGGCAGUCUGGAUGGCUCAGCAGAUAGCACCGCCUUCAGCCUAGAGCGUGAUCCUGGAGACCCGAGAUUGAGUCCCACAUCUGGCUCCCUGCAUGAAGCCUGCUUCUCCUUCUGCCUGUGUCUCUGCCUCUCUCUCUCUCUCUCUCUCUCUCUGUCUCUCAUGAAUAAAUAAAUAAAAUCUUUAAAAAAUGUCUAAGUGUUCACAUUGCUUGUUUUAACUGAUGGUUGUCAGAGGGAAGGGGCAAGUGGGAUGGGCAAAUGGGUGAAGGGGAGUGGGAGAUAUGGGCUUCUUGUUUUUAUGUCCACUAUUUGCUCCUUAUCCAUUUAUCCAUUUGUGAAUUCAGCAAACAUUGGCCUGAGGAUCCCCAAUAAGGUCUGAGCUAUUCUACAUGCUGGAGGAAUAAAACCAAAUAGUAUGUGGCCUGUGUCCACAAGGCCAGUCAGCAAUUACAAAACAGAUAGACAUCUCUAUAGAUGCUGGAGCCACACAGACAGAAAGCAAGAAAUAAGACAGGAGGGAAUUUGAGAAGCUUUCCAGGAAGAGGAGUUUCUCUUUUUUUAAAGAUUUACUUAUUUGAGAGAAAGAGAGAACUGGGCAGGAGGGGAAUGGGUGGAGGAAGAGGGAGAGAGAGAAUCCUAAUCAGACUCUAUACUGAGUGUGGAGCCUGAUACCAAUGAGUCCCAUGACUGAGAUCAUGACCCAAGUCAAAACCAAGAGAGAGGGCAGCCUGGGUGGCUUAGCUGUUU